CUGCGAACGGCUCAUUAAAUCAGUUAUCGUUUAUUUGAUAGUACCUUUACCUACUUGGAUAACCGUGGUAAUUCUAGAGCUAAUACAUGCUAAAAGUCCCGACCUCUGGAAGGGACGUAUUUAUUAGAUAAAAAACCAAUGCCCUUCUGGGCUUCUUGGUGAUUCAUGAUAACUUUACGAAUCGCAUGGCCUUGUGCCGGCGAUGGUUCAUUCAAAUUUCUGCCCUAUCAACUUUCGAUGGUAGGAUAGUGGCCUACCAUGGUUUCAACGGGUAACGGGGAAUUAGGGUUCGAUUCCGGAGAGGGAGCCUGAGAAACGGCUACCACAUCCAAGGAAGGCAGCAGGCGCGCAAAUUACCCAAUCCCGACACGGGGAGGUAGUGACAAGAAAUACUGAUACAGGGCCCAUCUGGGUCUUGUAAUUGGAAUGAGUACAAUUUAAAGCCUUUAACGAGGAACAAUUGGAGGGCAAGUCUGGUGCCAGCAGCCGCGGUAAUUCCAGCUCCAAUAGCGUAUAUUAAAGUUGUUGCAGUUAAAAAGCUCGUAGUUGAACUUUGGGUCUGGGUGACCGGUCCCCCGACUUGGGUGUGUACUGGAAACCCGGAUCUUUCCUUCUGGAGAACCUCAUGCCCUUCACUGGGUGUGUUGGGGAACUAGGACUUUUACUUUGAAAAAAUUAGAGUGUUCAAAGCAGGCUUUUGCUCGAAUACAUUAGCAUGGAAUAAUAAAAUAGGACGUGCGGUUCUAUUUUGUUGGUUUCUAGGACCGCCGUAAUGAUUAAUAGGGAUAGUCGGGGGCAUCCGUAUUCGAUUGUCAGAGGUGAAAUUCUUGGAUUUUUCGAAGACGAACUACUGCGAAAGCAUUUGCCAAGGAUGUUUUCAUUAAUCAGGAACGAAAGUUGAGGGAUCGAAGACGAUCAGAUACCGUCGUAGUCUCAACCAUAAACUAUGCCGACUAGGAAUCGGGCGAUGUUUUCAAUUUGACUCGCUCG
rnacentral:rRNA from 1 species